GUGUCAGCCGCCGCGGUAAUACGAAGGGUGCAAGCGUUACUCGGAAUUACUGGGCGUAAAGCGUGCGUAGGUGGUUCGUUAAGUCUGAUGUGAAAGCCCUGGGCUCAACCUGGGAAUGGCAUUGGAUACUGGCGACCUAGAGUGCGGUAGAGGGUGGCGGAAUUCCCGGUGUAGCAGUGAAAUGCGUAGAUAUCGGGAGGAACAUCCGUGGCGAAGGCGGCCACCUGGACCAGCACUGACACUGAGGCACGAAAGCGUGGGGAGCAAACAGGAUUAGAAACCCGCGUAGUCC
rnacentral:rRNA from 1 species